AAGGGUAUAGCUCAGUGGUAGAGCUCUUGCUUAACAUGCACGAGGUCCUGGGUUCAAUCCCCAGUACUUCUG
rnacentral:tRNA from 1 species